rnacentral:rRNA from 1 species
GAUGAACGCUGGCGGCGUGCCUAAUACAUGCAAGUCGAGCGAACGGACGAGAAGCUUGCUUCUCUGAUGUUAGCGGCGGACGGGUGAGUAACACGUGGAUAACCUACCUAUAAGACUGGGAUAACUUCGGGAAACCGGAGCUAAUACCGGAUGAUAUUUUGAACCGCAUGGUUCAAAAGUGAAAGACGGUCUUGCUGUCACUUAUAGAUGGAUCCGCGCUGCAUUAGCUAGUUGGUAAGGUAACGGCUUACCAAGGCAACGAUGCAUAGCCGACCUGAGAGGGUGAUCGGCCACACUGGAACUGAGACACGGUCCAGACUCCUACGGGAGGCAGCAGUAGGGAAUCUUCCGCAAUGGGCGAAAGCCUGACGGAGCAACGCCGCGUGAGUGAUGAAGGUCUUCGGAUCGUAAAACUCUGUUAUUAGGGAAGAACAUAUGUGUAAGUAACUGUGCACAUCUUGACGGUACCUAAUCAGAAAGCCACGGCUAACUACGUGCCAGCAGCCGCGGUAAUACGUAGGUGGCAAGCGUUAUCCGGAAUUAUUGGGCGUAAAGCGCGCGUAGGCGGUUUUUUAAGUCUGAUGUGAAAGCCCACGGCUCAACCGUGGAGGGUCAUUGGAAACUGGAAAACUUGAGUGCAGAAGAGGAAAGUGGAAUUCCAUGUGUAGCGGUGAAAUGCGCAGAGAUAUGGAGGAACACCAGUGGCGAAGGCGACUUUCUGGUCUGUAACUGACGCUGAUGUGCGAAAGCGUGGGGAUCAAACAGGAUUAGAUACCCUGGUAAUCCACGCCGUAAACGAUGGGUGCUAAGUGUUAGGGGGUUUCCGCCCCUUAGUGCUGCAGCUAACGCAUUAAGCACUCCGCCUGGGGAGUACGACCGCAAGGUUGAAACUCAAAGGAAUUGACGGGGACCCGCACAAGCGGUGGAGCAUGUGGUUUAAUUCGAAGCAACGCGAAGAACCUUACCAAAUCUUGACAUCCUUUGACAACUCUAGAGAUAGAGCCUUCCCCUUCAGGGGACAAAGUGACAGGUGGUGCAUGGUUGUCGUCAGCUCGUGUCGUGAGAUGUUGGGUUAAGUCCCGCAACGAGCGCAACCCUUAAGCUUAGUUGCCAUCAUUAAGUUGGGCACUCUAAGUUGACUGCCGGUGACAAACCGGAGGAAGGUGGGGAUGACGUCAAAUCAUCAUGCCCCUUAUGAUUUGGGCUACACACGUGCUACAAUGGACAAUACAAAGGGCAGCGAAACCGCGAGGUCAAGCAAAUCCCAUAAAGUUGUUCUCAGUUCGGAUUGUAGUCUGCAACUCGACUACAUGAAGCUGGAAUCGCUAGUAAUCGUAGAUCAGCAUGCUACGGUGAAUACGUUCCCGGGUCU